UACGUAGGGUGCAAGCGUUGUCCGGAAUUAUUGGGCGUAAAGAGCUCGUAGGCGGUUUGUCGCGUCUGCUGUGAAAACUCGGGGCUUAACCCCGGGCCUGCAGUGGGUACGGGCAGACUAGAGUGCGGUAGGGGAGACUGGAAUCCCUGGUGUAGCGGUGAAAUGCGCAGAUAUCAGGAAGAACACCCGUGGCUAAGGCGGCUCUCUAGUACGGUACUGACGCUGAGACGCGAAAGCGUGGGGAGCGAACAGG
rnacentral:rRNA from 1 species